rnacentral:rRNA from 1 species
UAGGGAAUCUUCCACAAUGGACGCAAGUCUGAUGGAGCAACGCCGCGUGAGUGAAGAAGGUUUUCGGACCGUAAAGCUCUGUUGUUGGUGAAGAAGGAUAGAGGCAGUAACUGGUCUUUAUUUGACGGUAAUCAACCAGAAAGUCACGGCUAACUACGUGCCAGCAGCCGCGGUAAUACGUAGGUGGCAAGCGUUGUCCGGAUUUAUUGGGCGUAAAGCGAGCGCAGGCGGAAUGAUAAGUCUGAUGUGAAAGCCCACGGCUCAACCGUGGAACUGCAUCGGAAACUGUCAUUCUUGAGUGCAGAAGAGGAGAGUGGAAUUCCAUGUGUAGCGGUGGAAUGCGUAGAUAUAUGGAAGAACACCAGUGGCGAAGGCGGCUCUCUGGUCUGCAACUGACGCUGAGGCUCGAAAGCAUGGGUAGCGAACAGG